GGGCCUGUAGCUCAGUCGGCAGAGCAUCGGACUUUUAAUCCGCGGGUCGAGGGUUCGAUCCCCUCCGGGCCCACCA
rnacentral:tRNA from 1 species